AGUUAUAUUGUCAAAUGUCGUGCGUUCACAAACUCUCUGAAGCUCAAUACUAGCAUAUUCUCUUCAAAGGUUUGGCAUUGAUCUACUUUAAAGAAUAUGCUCUCA